GUUUUGUUUUUUACAUAUACUGUUGAAAUCAGAUCAGCAAUAUAUAAAAACGCAAUCAUUUAUAAUAUUAUUGUGAUUUUGAAGUUUUCAAGUUUUGAAAACAUGAUCGUUCCAAAAAAUGUUCUCCUUCUAUCUUUGGCUAUCUUUGCCCUAGUAAAUGAUGAAUUGUGCAUGAUGAAAGUAAGAUUUAUUAACCCCAAUCGAAUAACACAUUACCAUAAUAUUGCUGCAACAUUGAUUAUGUCUGUCAUUUGCAAUAUAGUCGGGCAAUAUUUAGGCAAUAUUGCUAUCAAUAUUGAUCCAUAGCGGAUCGGUUCAACGCUUUUUGAAUGGAAAAGUGAUGAAAAUUCAACGAUCACUAAAAAUGUUUUAAAAGCAAAAUAUAAUAAUGUAACUAUUGGGAAUUAUAGAAAAAGUGGAAAAGUUAACGUUACUAAUGUUACUAACGUUACUAAUACUAAUAAUAAUAUAAAAUUGAGAUAAUUUAUUUAAGUCCAAUAAACCAAAAAGAUUAUUAUUAGCCCAUUUUUUGAAUAAAUGAACCUGAAAUGGUGAGCAUCGGUCACCAAGAAGUUGAUGUUGGAUUAACCGAUGUCGCGAUAAUUUUUCACCAAUUUUUCUUAGAAAAUUAAAUUGGAAUGGCAAUUUAUGAUCGACUUACCAAUGUUUUCUAGACAUUUUCCUAAGGCAAUUAUUCUGACUUGGUGAACAUUGAAAACCACGAAGUCGUUCAUGGACGUCCUGUUGUCCAAAUGAUACAUAACUAAUUUUUCCGAGGACAUUACAUUGGAAUGGUGAAAAUUGGUCACCAAGGAGUGAUUCAGGAACUUACCAAUUUCCAGAUGAUUUAUGGUCCAUUUUUCCAAAAAAAUAAUUUAAACAAGGUUAAUACCUGACACCAGGAAAUGGUUGUUCCAUUUUCCAAUGUCCAGAUAAUAUCUGACCAAUUUUUCGGAGAAAUAAUCAUUGUUAUGGCGAACAUCAAUCAACAGGAAGUGAUUCAUAGUCUUACCGAUAUCAACUAAAUUUCAGGAUAAUUUUUCGGAUGAAAGUACCUUAAAAAUUCGUACAUCAAACAUCAGAAAGUACUUUAAGCAAUCAUUAAUAAUAUAAUGAUAAUUAUGAUGAUUUAAUGAUAAAUAAUAAUUUUUAACCAUUCUCGAGGAAAUUAAAUUCGAAUGGCGAACACUGGUCAGCAGAAAAUUAUUUAUCGAUAUACCAAUGUUUACAUAAUUUCUGGUUAAUUUCUACUACAAAUUAUCAGAUAAUAAUUACUAUUUCACUUUUUCAAGGAAUUCAAUUAUAAACAUAAAGAUCGUGCAACAAACAAUGUACAUUU